rnacentral:rRNA from 1 species
UACGUAGGGACCGAGCGUUGUCCGGAAUCAUUGGGCGUAAAGAGCGUGUAGGCGGCCCUUUAAGUCCUACGUGAAAUCCUGCGGCUCAACCGCAGACGGUCGUGGGAAACUGGAGGGCUAGAGUGCGGGAGAGGAGAGUGGAAUUCCCAGUGUAGCGGUGAAAUGCGCAGAUAUUGGGAAGAACACCCGUGGCGAAGGCGGCUCUCUGGAACGCAACUGACGCUGAGACGCGAAAGCGUGGGGAGCAAACAGG